rnacentral:rRNA from 1 species
GACGUAGGAGGCGAGCGUUCUCCGGAUUCACUGGGCGAAAAGCGCAUGUAGGCGGGUCCUUAGGUCCGCGGUUAAAGCCCCCGGCGCAACUGGGGGAGGUCCGUGGAGACUAUUGGACUUGAGGGCAACAGAGGCACGUGGAACUCCCGGUGUAGCGGUGGAAUGCGUAGAGCUCGGGAAGAACACCAGUGGCGAAGGCGACGUGCGGGGUUGCAACUGACGCUGAGAUGCGAAAGUGUGGGGAGCAAACGGG